GCCGGCGCCCGACGUGCGGAAGAGGCUCCUGGAGCUGCUCGUCCUCCUCACGGAGUGCUUCCCCCGCUCCGUGCUCAUGACCGUGCUCUUCAUCUGCCCGUCCCAAGAAAGCGCCUCGAUGGACAUGUGGGAGGUGAUGUUUGCCGUGCCCGCCAUGGCGAAGCGGCUCCUGCACGAGCUCCACCUGCUGCUGCACGACAGGAACAUCCGCGAGUUCCUCGGGGUGGCCGAGGACCUCAGCCUCGUCCGCCUCAGCCUCCUCUACGCCCAGCGCCCCGAAGACCCCGUCCCCAAGGAGCUGCGGGACGUGGAGUGCCUGCAGCGCUGCCUCAGGACCGCCAACUUCCACCUGCUCUGGCUGGCGCUCAAAGGCCUGGCGGCGCUGAUGGAGAGGCCGCAGCUGGCCAAGGCAGGGCAGUGCCUGCUGCCGGACGUGCUGGAGACCCUGCAGUUCGGCAAGCCCCACAUCACGGCGGCGGCCCUGGCGGUCUGCGGCAACAUCCUCGGCAUCGUGGAGAAGAAGGCGGCCAGCCUCACCGCCCUCGAGCUGGUCGACGUGGUCAAGCCUCUCCUGGACAACGAGGCCGCCGCGGUGCGGGAGAGCUCCAUGAAGCUCUUCAAGGCGGCCAUGGAGCGCGUGCUGUGGAGGCACAAGACGCAGAUGUGGAAGAAGGUGCGCAAGAUCCUCGUCCCGCUCUACCUGCGCAUGAGCGACGAGACCCACAGCGUGGCCAAGGCCUCCCAAGAAGCCCUCAUGGCGGCGGCGGAGCUCUUGUGGUGGGAUGAGCUGAAGGACGUGGCCCACAUGGAGCAGACCUGGAGGAUCAGAGCGUGCCUGCUGCAGCAGGAUCGAGACCGGGUAGAGAAGCGCCUACAGCAGAGCCGGGCGUACCUGGAGGACCCUCAGGCAUCCGUGCGCGAGGAGACCGUGAGGUUCAUCGGGCUCGCCGCGGAGCUCCUCCAGGACCAGAGCGAAGAGAAGCUGCGCGAAAUCAUCGACAUCCUGCAGCCCAUGAUGCACGACGCGGCGCCCUCGGUGCGCGCGGAGACCUCCCGCACCAUCCAGGCCCUGCUGCAGCAUCGCAAGUGGCUCCGGCGGCUGCCGGUGCCGUGGAACCCGCUGGCGGCGCUCUGCUGCUGGCCUCGAAGGCGCCGCCAGAGGCCGAAGACCGAGCCCCAGCCCGAGGAGAGCCCAGAAGGUUCCGGCUCUGAAGGGACGUCCAAGGACCCAUCCCCCUGCCAGAGCAAGGACGACUAGCUCACCUCACGGCCGCAGGGGGUUCGGAUGCCUGCAGAGGAGCCUCCGCACCCCCCCCGGGCAGCCUGCUCCACGUUUUGCCGCCCUCACCACAAAUAAAUUUCGUCCCCAUGUUUGUCCGGUGCCUCCU
rnacentral:lncRNA from 1 species